rnacentral:lncRNA from 1 species
GAAAAUUCCUGGAGCCUCCAUCCUCAAGCUUUCCCACGGACAGCUGGCAUUGGCAUCUUCUUGGAUUUUGCUGGAAUGAAGUCAUUUGACUCUUCCUUAGACAAAGGUGGGUCAGAACCUGCAUUAUAACAACAUCUUCAGGUGAUGCACGUUCGGGAUGGAGAAGCAUUGCUUUGGGAAAGCCAGGUGUUGCCUGAGGGAAAAGCUGGUACUGCUUUCAGGGCAGGCAGUGGGAAUGAGAAAAGGGCAAGCAAGCACAUUGCUUUGAAGAGUUUGAUGUGAAAGAGGCAUCUAUCACUUCUUACAUUUCGUAGUCUCACACAAAGUCAUCUGCUGCAAUGAAGGUCCAGGUAAGUCUUGGGGAUUUUACUAUUAAAGGAAGAAGAGAGAACUAAUGAUGGUGGGAAACUCAAGGGUGCUCCGGGCAAAAGAAAUGUCAUAGAUGAAGGCACUAAGACAGAAAGAAGCUUGUUUGAACACUUUUAUGCCUAAGAUUAACAGCAUUUGUAAAUAAUCAUGCACAUAAUCCUUUACUGAAGUUUAUACAUCCUAUCAUAUAUUGUGUGCAAUAAUUCUCCUAAAGUGCCUUGUUUUGAACAGCCAACUUUGCUACAUGGCUAAUAAAAUGUGUGUACUAAACCUAUAUAUUGAGUUU